UACAGGUGACGAAAUCUCUGUUCGAAGGUCUGCAGGAAAAAGAUGAAGACCUUUUUGAUUAUUGCCUUGUGUCUGAGUUUGCUGUUUGUGGCUGGCAGCGCACAUAAUUGCGGCAAGAACGCACAUUGCGUGGGGGCACACUCCAACGACCCGCACCCUGGUAAUGGACCGUGCAAUGGCCCUAGAUGGCGCUGUAAAUGCAAGAAGGGCUUCCAAGGCGACCCGCACAAAAAAUGUCAUCCGGUACACCGUUAAGGUUAAAAGAAGGACGGAAGCAGUAUCACCUGACAAGAUCCAAACCACAUAAAACUGCAAACGAUAAAAAUGACACAAAGAAACGUUUAAUUUCUGUACAAUCCCACGCGCACUGCUGUUGCCAUAAAGACAAUCUUCGUAACAAUGUGGAUGAAUACAAAUUUUGCACAAGAAUUCAUUUAUUAAAUCUAUGGAAAUUUGGUGACCUCUAUGAAAUCUAUGAAAAUGGGGAC